rnacentral:lncRNA from 12 species
CCUGCUGGUCACACGCCCUCCAAGGUAGGUGUGUGCUCGUCCCCAUGUUCCAGUCCAAAGCUAAAUAGGCUUCCCGACGUCACGAGACUAGCAAGUGGCACCUGGAGCCCAAAGGCAGCCGUCGGGCCGCCGAGCCCAGGCUUACCCCAGGAGAGGCCGCCUCAGGGCUCCCUCGGCGCCCGGCGGAGCCGGAGGUUCACACCGACCUCCUCGCAGUCGCUUGCUCCUGCCAAGCAAAAUGGACUGCGGCUCCCGCGCGUGCUCGUCAGGGCUGCUGUGACAAAGCCCCACAAGCUGAGCGAUUUAAACACACGUGCGUGGUCUCACAGCUCUGGAGGCCGGAAGCCCGAAAUCAAGGGGUCGGUAAGGUUGGUUGUCCCAGAGGCUGCAACGGAGAAGCUGUCCGGGGCCUCCGGGCUGCAGCCAGGGCUUCACCCCGCGACCUUUGCAGCUCCGUGGCUGGUAGAGGGGUCACCAAUCCCUGCCUUCUCGCAUGUCUCUGGGGCCAGAUUUCCUUUUGGUAAGAGUGCCAGUCAUGUGGGAUUAGGAUCCAUCCUUAUGACCUCAUUUCAACUAAUCUCACCUGCAGUGCUCCUCCCUGCAAAUAGGGUGAGGUUCGGAGGUGCCGGGAGGUGCCGGGAGUCAGGACUUCAACACAGAAAGUGUGUGUGUGUGUGUGUGUGUGUGUGUGUGUGUGUGUGUGUGUGUGCAGGGGUGCAUGACACAAUUUGUUCCGUAACACUGGGUACAAACGAUACAAAAAAGAUGUGGAGAAAUGUACCUGGUCUCAGAGGACAUAGACAUAUCGGUGCCAAUGAACCAAAUCAGGUCAAACGCUUUAAUACGGGCACAGCUCUGUUUGUGGAAGGAUGUGGUUGGACCAUGAUGCGGCUGCCGGCCUCACCAGGCAAAGCCCCCCAGAAGCCAGCAGCAGGAGCCUGGACUUGGGGCCUCACCUGCGCUAUCCUGCCGUGGGGUGCAGAAUGCGGGUGGGGGAGUCUAGAGGAAGAGCACAGGAGAGCAGGGACCCAAACCUCCCAGCCCUCCACGGGUCACCAGGUAAACUGUUUGACCCUUUCAUGUGCUACUAAAGACCAGGGGUAG